rnacentral:rRNA from 1 species
CUAUCAUGCAGUCGAGCGACAGACGAGGAGCUUGCUCCUCUGACGUUAGCGGCGGACGGGUGAGUAACACGUGGAUAACCUACCUAUAAGACUGGGAUAACUUCGGGAAACCGGAGCUAAUACCGGAUAAUAUAUUGAACCGCAUGGUUCAAUAGUGAAAGACGGUUUUGCUGUCACUUAUAGAUGGAUCCGCGCCGCAUUAGCUAGUUGGUAAGGUAACGGCUUACCAAGGCAACGAUGCGUAGCCGACCUGAGAGGGUGAUCGGCCACACUGGAACUGAGACACGGUCCAGACUCCUACGGGAGGCAGCAGUAGGGAAUCUUCCGCAAUGGGCGAAAGCCUGACGGAGCAACGCCGCGUGAGUGAUGAAGGUCUUCGGAUCGUAAAACUCUGUUAUUAGGGAAGAACAAAUGUGUAAGUAACUAUGCACGUCUUGACGGUACCUAAUCAGAAAGCCACGGCUAACUACGUGCCAGCAGCCGCGGUAAUACGUAGGUGGCAAGCGUUAUCCGGAAUUAUUGGGCGUAAAGCGCGCGUAGGCGGUUUUUUAAGUCUGAUGUGAAAGCCCACGGCUCAACCGUGGAGGGUCAUUGGAAACUGGAAAACUUGAGUGCAGAAGAGGAAAGUGGAAUUCCAUGUGUAGCGGUGAAAUGCGCAGAGAUAUGGAGGAACACCAGUGGCGAAGGCGACUUUCUGGUCUGUAACUGACGCUGAUGUGCGAAAGCGUGGGGAUCAAACAGGAUUAGAUACCCUGGUAGUCCACGCCGU